AGUCCAGCAGGACACCAACAAAACCAGUGCUGUGAAGCAAACGUUGGAGCUGCGAGGCUUCUACCCGGUAUAUUUCCCCCAGGGACUUGAGAGGAUUGCAGAAAAAUCCAGAGCACUGUUUUCCAGGAUGCAGCGGGUGAGCAAGCAGUUACCGGAUGAUCAUCUGAGCCCAGGAAAUGAGGCCAGGCAGGGUAGCAUAGAGACACCCUGUCUUGAAAAAGAAGAAAGAAGUAACUGCGUGAGCAUGGCAUCAAAUGGAGGAAGAGAGCCAAGAUGGAUGCUUCCAGCCUGUACUUGGAAACUCACCUAUCAUUGCUAAGAAAGCAGAGAAGGCCUGGCUGAUAGCCUGAAGCACCUUAAUGGAAGUGACAGCAGGUGGCAGGGCCAGGAGCAGAUGACUAAGGAGGACCUGGAAGCCAUCCAACUCCACGAGGAGGCCGUCCGACAGCUGGUGGCUAGCGACAUCUGGGAAGAGGAGCCUCAUUUGACAAACUGCCUCCAUCAUACUGGCCUGAAGGCAAGUCUAUGGGGACAUUGAUUAUUAAUGAUUGGUACAGGAAGGCCCAGUGCACUGUGGGUGGUGCUGCCCCUGGGCAGGUGGUCCUGAGUGCUAUAAUAAAGCAAGAUGAGCAGGCCAUGUGGAUCAAGCCAGAAAACAGCACUCCUCCAUGGUCUCUGCUUCAGUGCCUGCGCCCAGAUUCCAGCCCUGGCUUCCCUUCACACCGGACUAUACGCUGUAAGAUAAAAUAAACCCUCCUCGGGCUGGCUUUGGUUAUGGUGUUAUCUCAGCAACAGGAUGCAAACUGGGACCCUUGGAUUUUGGAAUCACAACUUGCACAUUGAGACUGAAGGUGACUGUGUCGCUAGGGGUAGCACACAUAAGCCUCGCCACGAGGCACUGGCAGCUCAUGCUUGUUUCUAUGCUCUGUUUGACAGCUUUGCAAGGCUGUGCUUGACAUGUAUUUAAGGUAUGACAUGUAAGGAUGCCCUGGGACCUUCUGUUGACCAUAUCCUGACCCAAGACCUGGAAUGUAUGAUACCCACAGCCAUGAACUGCCAGCCCCACCCUGCUUUCUGUCUCCUCAAUUCAUGUCUAUCAUCCCCUUGUUUUUGUGUGGUUUAAAUAGUUCUGCAUCACUUUGCACAGACAAUGUUGGUAAAAUGUGUUUACUGCAAAACAAUAUAUUGUUUAGUGUUG